rnacentral:lncRNA from 1 species
ACUGUAUUAUUUGAUGGUGGAUUGAGGAUAUUGGUUUGCUGAGGUAUUCUUUUCAGAGGUAAGGUGGCAGGAUUGGUACUGAAAAUAUCCCACCAUUUGGUUUUAAGGGUUUUUCCUAGCUUGGGAAUAUACUCAUAGUUAUUAGUAUUAUUUUCGAAAAUAGAGUAUUCCCACUUUAAAAUCCAGGGUAUUUGGUAGAUUGCCAUGAAGUAAAGAUGGUAAUCAUCUUGGUCUGUGCAAGUAUUAUAAUGUGUAAAUUUUGUCUGUAAAUUCUGGAAAGUAUCAGGCAGUAUUUGAGUCUGAGAUCCCCAUACUAAGAACCAAUGACGAAACCAGCUAGGGAAUCUUUCGAGGACAGGGAGUUUGAAUUGGAGGUACCAGGAAUGAGUAUUAUUCGGAUUUU